rnacentral:rRNA from 1 species
GGUGAACGCUGGCGGCGUGCCUAACACAUGCAAGUCGAGCGGUGCAGUUUGAAGCUUCGGUGGAAAGCUGCAUAGCGGCGGACGGGUGAGGAAAACGUAGGAACGUGCCCCUUGGAGUUGGAUAGCCACGGGGAAACUGUGGGUAAACCGACAUAGACUCGAGAGAGUAAAGGCCGAAAGGCGCCAAGGGAGCGGCCUGCGGCCCAUCAGGUAGUUGGUAGUGUAAAGGACUACCAAGCCGACGACGGGUAGCCGGUCUGAGAGGAUGGCCGGCCACAAGGGCACUGAAAGACGGGCCCUACUCCUACGGGAGGCAGCAGUGGGGGGAUUUUGGGACAAAUGGGCGAAAAGCCUGAUCCAGCGACGCCGCGUGGAGGACGAAGCCCUUCGGGGUGUAAACGUCCUUUUCUUCAGGGAAAAAGGAUGAUGGUACCUGAGGAAUAAGCCCCGGCUAACUACGUG